rnacentral:rRNA from 1 species
GAAUGUGGCCGUGCUACCCUGAACAAGCCUGAUCCAGUCUGAUCUCGGAAGCUAAGCAGGGUCGGGCCUCGUUAGUACUUGGAUGGGAGACCACCUAGGAAGACCAGGUGCUGUAGGCU